rnacentral:rRNA from 1 species
CCUACGGGAGGCAGCAGUAGGGAAUAUUGCUCAAUGGCGGAAACCCUGAAGCAGCAACGCCGCGUGGAGGAUGAAGGUUUUCGGAUUGUAAACUCCUUUUGUUAGAGGAGUUAAUGACGGUAUCUAACGAAUAAGCACCGUCUAACUCCGUGCCAGCAGCCGCGGUAAUACGGAGGGUGCAAGCGUUAUUCGGAGUCACUGGGCGUAAAGAGCGCGUAGGCGGGAUAGCAAGUCAGAUGUGAAAUGCUAUGGCUUAACCAUAGAACUGCAUUUGAAACUGUUAGUCUAGAGUAUGGGAGAGGUAGGUGGAAUGCGUGGUGUAGGGGUAAAAUCCAUAGAGAUCAAGCGGAAUACUCAUUGCGAAGGCGGCCUGCUAGACCAUAACUGACGCUGAUGCGCGAAAGCGUGGGGAGCAAACAGGAUUAGAUACCCGUGUAGUC